CAUGUGAACAGCACUUGGACAUGGGUUAGUUGAUCCUAAGAGAUGGGGAAGCCCUGUAUCAAGGGUGCACUAUGCACGAACAUCGAAAGGGAAUUGGGUUAAUAUUCCUGAACCGGGACAUGGUGAAGGAUGACAACGUUAGGAAAUCUGGAGACGUCGUCGGGGGCCCCGGGAAGAGUUAUCUUUUCUUUUUAACAUCUUGCCCACCCUGAAAUCGGCUCAACCGGAUAUAGGGUCCAGCGGCUGGAAGAGCAUCGCAUGUCUUGCGGUGUCCUGUGCGCCCUCGGCGGCCCUUGAAAAUCUGGAGGACCGAGUACCGUCCAUGCCCGGUCUUACUCAUAACCGCAUCAGGUCUCCAAGGUGAACAACCUCUAGUCAAUAGAACAAUGUAGGUAAGGGAAGUCGAAAAACGGAUCCGUAACUUCGGGAAAAGGAUUGGCUCUGAGGGCUGGGACUAGGGGUCUGCAUCCUCAACCCGUGGGCUAUCGACAGUCUACCCGAGCUGCUAUCGUGGCGAGGGCGGGCAGUCGCGUGUCGAUUGGGCUACAGACGUAGAAUGUCCUCUCGCGGGGGAUUUUCCCUAGGCGGCGAACAGUCGACUCAGAACUAGUACGGACAAGGGGAAUCUGAUUGUUUAAUUAAAACAAAGCAUUGCGAUGGUCCCUGCGGAUGCUGACGCAAUGUGAUUUCUUCCCAAUGCUCUGAAUGUCAAAGUGAAGAAAUUCAACCAAGAGCGGGUAAACGGCGGGAGUAACUAUGACUCUCUUAAGGUAGCCAAAUGCCUCAUCAUCUAAUUAGUGACACACAUGAAUGAAUUAACGAGAUUGCCACUGUCCCUAUCUACUAUCUAGCGAAACCACAGCCAAGGGAACGGGCUUGGCAGAAUCAGCGGGGAAAGAAGACCCUGUUGAGCUUGACUCUAGUCCAACUUUGUGAAAUGACUUGAGAGGUGUAAAAUAAGUGGGAGCCGUUUUCGGCGCAAGUGAAAUACCACUACUUUUAAUGUUAUUUUACUUAUUCCAUGGGGCAGAGACGGGGCAUUGCCCCUGUUUUUUGCCUUAAGACACGUUUCAACGGGUCGAUCCGGGUGUAAGACAUUGUCUGGUGGGGAGUUUGGCUGGGGCGGCACAUCUGUUAAAAUAUAACGCAGGUGUCCUAAGAUGAGCUCAACGAGAACAUAAAUCUGGUGUGGAACAAAAGGGUAAAAGCUUAUUUGAUUUUGAUUUUCAGUACGAAUACAAACCGUGAAAUUGUGGCCUAUCGAUCCUUUAGACUUUUGAAAUUUGAAGCUAGAGGUGUCAGAAAAGUUACCACAGGGAUAACUGGCUUGUGGCAGCCAAGCGUUCAUAGCGACGUUACUUUUUGAUCCUUCGAUGUCGACUCUUCCUAUCAUUGUGAAGCAGAAUUCACCAAGUGUUGGAUUGUUCACCCACCAAUAGGGAAUGUGAGCUGGGUUUAGACCGUCGUGAGAUAGGUUAGUUUUACCCUACUGAUGUACCGCGCCACAAUAGUAAUUCAAUUUAGUAUGAGAGGAACCGUUGAUUCACACAAUUGGUCAUCGUGCUUGGUUGAAAAGCCAGUGGCGCGAAGCUACCGUGUGUCGGAUUAUGACUGAACGCCUCUAAGUCAGAAUCCACGCUAGAAGCGACGCUUGUCACUCCUCAACUGUAUCUUGACCCGCAGUAGGGGUGUCGCUUUGGCACCCCCAGGGGCCCAUGUCACUUGCGAACCUCGGCGAGGAAGCGUCUCGGUCGGGGCAACUUUGAAGUUCAAUUUCAAAUGGUCGUUGAGAAGAAUCCUUUGCAGACGACUUAAAUAUGCGACGAGGUAUUGUAAGUGGCAGAGUGGCCUUGCUACCAUGAUCCACUGAGAUUCAGCCCUUCGUCGCCUUGAUUCAG
rfam:Picea glauca, whole genome shotgun sequence.